rnacentral:lncRNA from 1 species
CCUGCUACGUCACCGCCGCGCAUGCGGUAAGCGCCACCCUCUCCAUUCCAAUCUCCAAGCACGAGGAGAAGAUUUAUCAUUUUUUUAUUGGAUUUACGGCUCCAAAAAAAUUUGCAAGCUUCGGCCUCCAUCUGCAAACUCCGCCACCCUCGCAAUUCCCUCAACGCCGCCGUCCACCCCAAAUCGAAACCCUAGCAACCGCCUCCCUCCGCCCACCCCAAAUCAAAUAGGCCGCCUCUCCUCCCACCCCCCAAAUCGGAUGGAGUUAUUCGCAGAACCUGUAGUGGCGCCAUGGCGGUGAAGAGGG